rnacentral:rRNA from 1 species
UACAGAGGUCCCAAGCGUUGUUCGGAUUCAUUGGGCGUAAAGGGUGCGUAGGCGGCGCGGUAAGUCGGGUGUGAAAUCUCGGGGCUUAACUCCGAAACUGCAUUCGAUACUGCCGUGCUUGAGGACUGGAGAGGAGACUGGAAUUUACGGUGUAGCGGUGAAAUGCGUAGAUAUCGUAAGGAAGACCAGUGGCGAAGGCGGGUCUCGUGGACAGUUCCUGACGCUGAGGCACGAAGUCAGGGGAGCAAACGGGA